CCCCCGCGAUAAAGGCUCUCCGGAACCCUAAGCUCCCCAUCCCCUCUCUCGAUCUCCAUCUCUCAGCCUUCUUCCAUGGCCUCCUCCGCCCAUCCUCUCCCUCCCACGGACAGGGCUUCUCCGGAACCACCGGAGAAAAAGCAGAAAUUGAUGAGUGAAGGAUCAGACGAGGAAAACCGGAAGUCGGUGAGCGACGGAUCGGGGGAAGAAAGGACGGACUCCACUGGUGGUGACAUGGCCGAGGAAUAUUAUUGCAAUAACUAGCUCUUUGACUGUGAUGGGGAACCGGAAGAGGAUUCGGAUGGUGAUUUAAUGGUAUGUACCCUUGGAGCACAUUUACGGGGCAAGUUCGAUUUGGAAGGACCCAGAGCACAGGACUGGAGAAAAUGUGCCGAUUUCUCAAAGUUGGCCCUAAAGAAGUACAAUAACGAUAAUGGAACAAAUUAUGAGCUUGUGGAGGUGGUCAAGG